UACGUAGGUGGCAAGCGUUGUCCGGAUUUACUGGGCGUAAAGAGCGCGCAGGCGGUCGUUCAAGUCGCGUGUGAAAGCCCCCGGCUCAACUGGGGAGGGUCACGCGAUACUGAUCGACUCGAAGGCAGGAGAGGGUAGCGGAAUUCCCGGUGUAGUGGUGAAAUGCGUAGAUAUCGGGAGGAACACCAGUGGCGAAGGCGGUUCUCUGGGACGGUACUGACGCUGAGACGCGAAAGCGUGGGGAGCGAACAGG
rnacentral:rRNA from 1 species